rnacentral:rRNA from 1 species
UACGGAGGGUGCAAGCGUUAUCCGGAUUUAUUGGGUUUAAAGGGUCCGUAGGCGGACCCAUAAGUCAGUGGUGAAAUCCUGCAGCUUAACUGUAGAACUGCCAUUGAUACUGUGGGUCUUGAAUAUGGUUGAAGUGGGCGGAAUAUGACAUGUAGCGGUGAAAUGCUUAGAUAUGUCAUAGAACACCGAUUGCGAAGGCAGCUCACUAAGCCACAAUUGACGCUGAUGGACGAAAGCGUGGGUAGCGAACAGG